GAGUUUGAUCCUGGCUCAGAACGAACGUUGGCGGCGUGGAUUAGGCAUGCAAGUCGAACGAGAAAGGUUCCUUCGGGGACCGAGUAAAGUGGCGAACUGGUGAGUAAUGCAUGGAUAACCUACCUUCGAGAGGGGGAUAGCUUCUCGAAAGGGGAGAUAAUACCCCAUGAUGUGGUUGCUUUUUGAGUGAUCACCAAAGAUAGCCUCUGAUGCAAGCUUUCGCUCGGAGAGGGGUUCAUGUCCUAUUAGUUAGUUGGUGAGGUAAAGGCUCACCAAGGCAACGAUGGGUAGCCGACCUGAGAGGGUGACCGGCCACACUGGGACUGAGACACUGCCCAGACUCCUACGGGAGGCUGCAGUCGAGAAUCUUCCGCAAUGCGCGCAAGCGUGACGGAGCGACGCCGCGUGGGUGAUGAAGGCUUUCGGGUUGUAAAGCCCUGUCACCUGCUAUGAAAGGCGGGCGGUGAAUAGCUGUCCCGUCUGACCUCAGCAGGGGAGGAAGCACCGGCUAAAUACGUGCCAGCAGCCGCGGUAAUACG
rnacentral:rRNA from 1 species